AUUGAACGCUGGCGGCAUGCCUUACACAUGCAAGUCGAACGGCAGCACGGGUGCUUGCACCUGGUGGCGAGUGGCGAACGGGUGAGUAAUACAUCGGAACAUGUCCUGUCGUGGGGGAUAGCCCGGCGAAAGCCAGAUUAAUACCGCAUACGAUCUACGGAUGAAAGCGGGGGACCUUCGGGCCUCGCGCUAUAGGGUUGGCCGAUGGCUGAUUAGCUAGUUGGUGGGGUAAAGGCCUACCAAGGCGACGAUCAGUAGCUGGUCUGAGAGGACGACCAGCCACACUGGGACUGAGACACGGCCCAGACUCCUACGGGAGGCAGCAGUGGGGAAUUUUGGACAAUGGGCGAAAGCCUGAUCCAGCAAUGCCGCGUGUGUGAAGAAGGCCUUCGGGUUGUAAAGCACUUUUGUCCGGAAAGAAAUCCUUGGCCCUAAUACGGUCGUGGGAUGACGGUACCGGAAGAAUAAGCACCGGCUAACUACGUG
rnacentral:rRNA from 1 species